GUCCACGCCGUAAACGAUGGGUACUAGGUGUCUGGGGGAGCGACCCCUGGUGGCCGGCGCUAACGCAUGAAGUACCCCGCCUGGGGAGGUACGGCCGCAAGGCUGAAACUCAAAGGAAUUGACGGGGGCCCCGGCACAAGCGGUGGAGCAUGUGGUUUAAUUCGACGCAACGCGAAGAACCUUACCUAGGCUUGACAUGCUGGAGAAAGCUCGCAGAAACGUGAGCCCCUCUUCGGAGUUCCAGCACAGAUGCUGCAUGGCUGUCGU
rnacentral:rRNA from 1 species